UGAUGAAUAAAUGGCAAGUGAUAUGUGUCCCUGUAAAACUGGCAGUGGCAAAUUUGUUUUUUGACAUCGUCACUCUCAUUUGUCAUAGGCUGUAAAAGAGCACAUCCUGAAAGACAUGACAGAUAUGGGGAAAGCAGCAGGACUCAAAUCCUUUGAGCAGGUAAAGGACAUUCAUUUGCAUCAUGAGUUGUUUAGUGUGGAGAAUGGCCUGCUGACACCGACAUUCAAGUCAAAACGCCAGGAUAUAAAGAAAUUUUUCGCAACACAGUUAGAUGAAAUGUAUAGCAAGCUGGAUUGAGUUCGUAGUAGUUAAUUGAUGCAUUGUAGAACUU